GCCUGCGCCGGCGGGUCAGCGCCGGCUCCUGUUUGCAGGCGCCCCCUCCCCACCCGGCUGCCCAGCCGCUGUCAGCACGGGCCGUCGGUGUCGCCGCCGCCGCGAGGCCGAGCGCAGCCGGGCCCGAGGCAGGGGACCCCGCGAGAGGGCAGCGCGCCGGCCGCCGCCGCCCUGGCGCCGAGGGUCGCGCCGUCCCUUUGCCCAGAGGUGCUGGGAGAGUCAUGCCAGCGAGUCCCGGGCCCCUCCUGAUGUCCCGUGAGGCAUCCGUCACCCCGCUGCACUCAAGAGGCCCACAGGCCCCACCCCAGGGCCCUGGUCACAGAACUGCCUCCUUUCGGCCAGUCCUGCCAUAGCCCCAGAGGGCGACCACGGCCAGGAGCCUCUCCCAGGACCCAGGACCGUGAGCACCAGGGGACUCUCUCCACUCCCCCCCCCACCGC